AUGCUGUCAGGUCUGGCCCCGGACCUGAUUAAUGGGGGUGUGGCUAUCCUUCAGUAUGCAGAUGAUACUGUCAUUUGCUUUGAGCAUGACAAAGAAGCUGCGGUCAAUCUAAAACUCUUGCUAUAUAUUUUUGAGCUCAUUUCCGGGCUUAAAAUAAAUUUCCUGAAGAGUGAAAUCUUAUGUAUAGGGGGAAAUGAUGACAUACUAACUUUCUACUCUGAACUCUUCAAUUGCCAGAUCAGGCACUUCCCUAUGAAAUACUUAGGGGUGCCUGUGAGCCAUUCCACUCUCCGUGCUUUAGACUGGAGCUUUGUUAAUGAUAAAUUCCUCAGGUGUUGUGAAUCCUGGAUUGGUAAUGCGGCGUCUUCAGGGAGGCUGAUCCUAGUCAACUCUUCCCUUACUAGUAUCAUCUUCUACUACAUGUCUAUGUUUAUGCUUCCCAAGAAGAUUAUUGAAAAAUUAGAUAAGCAUAGGAAAAAGUUCUUUUGGCAAGAGACUGAUGGUCGUAGAAGAUAUCACUUGGUCAAGUGGUCUAGAAUCUGUAGAUCUAAGAACAAAGGAGGAUUAGGAGUUAAAGAUCUACAUAAACAGAAUAUUAGUCUCCUCACCAAGUGGUGGUGGAAACUGGAAACUCAACAAGGCCUUUGGCAGGACGUGAUCCGUGCUAAAUAUUUCAGAAAUGAUACGGUACCCUCGGUGAAAAAUAAAUUUGGGGAUUCCCCCAUUUGGAAAGCUAUUAUGAAAGUAAAGGAGGUAUAUUUGGCAGGAAGAAAAGUGAUUUUGAAUUCUGGGAAUGGGGCCAGAGUAUGGAAUGACCCUAUCAGGGGUGAUGCUCUUUUGCGAGACCAAUUUCCGGCCUUAUUCAGCAUAUGCAAUUAUCAGGAAAUCACUAUUGCUGAGUUUAGAAACUUCGAGGGCAAUGAUCUCUUUAGAAGAAACCUACAUCCUCCUCUUACGGAUCAGUUCUUGUUAGGGUGGUUAACUCCUGGCAUUUAUCUGGUGAAUCGGAUCAGAUUAGCUGGACUUUGGGGAAAAAAGUAA
rnacentral:rRNA from 1 species